UACGUAGGUGGCGAGCGUUGUCCGGAAUUACUGGGUGUAAAGGGAGCGUAGGCGGGAGAGCAAGUCGACUGUGAAAUCUAUGGGCUUAACCCAUAGCUGCGAUCGAAACUGUUCAUCUUGAGUGAAGUAGAGGCAGGCGGAAUUCCUAGUGUAGCGGUGUAAUGCGUAAAUAUUAGGAGGAACACCAGUGGCGAAGGCGGCCUGCUGGGCUUUAACUGACGCUGAGGCUCGAAAGCGUGGGUAGCAAACAGG
rnacentral:rRNA from 1 species